rnacentral:rRNA from 1 species
UACGGGGGGAGCAAGCGUUGUUCGGAUUUACUGGGCGUAAAGGGCGCGUAGGCGGCCAGCACAAGUCAGUUGUGAAAUCUCCGGGCUUAACCCGGAAAGGUCAGCUGAUACUGCAGGGCUAGAGUGCAGAAGGGGCAACUGGAAUUCUCGGUGUAGCGGUGAAAUGCGUAGAUAUCGAGAGGAACACCUGCGGCGAAGGCGGGUUGCUGGGCUGACACUGACGCUGACAGCGCGAAAGCUAGGGGAGCGAACGGG